rnacentral:rRNA from 1 species
GGGUUGUGAGGUUAAGCGACUAAGCGUACACGGUGGAUGCCCUGGCAGUCAGAGGCGAUGAAGGACGUGCUAAUCUGCGAUAAGCGUCGGUAAGGUGAUAUGAACCGUUAUAACCGGCGAUUUCCGAAUGGGGAAACCCAGUGUGAUUCGUCACACUAUCAUUAACUGAAUCCAUAGGUUAAUGAGGCGAACCGGGGGAACUGAAACAUCUAAGUACCCCGAGGAAAAGAAAUCAACCGAGAUUCCCCCAGUAGCGGCGAGCGAACGGGGAGGAGCCCAGAGCCUGAAUCAGUGUGUGUGUUAGUGGAAGCGUCUGGAAAGGCGCGCGAUACAGGGUGACAGCCCCGUACACAAAAAUGCACAUGCUGUGAGCUCGAUGAGUAGGGCGGGACACGUGGUAUCCUGUCUGAAUAUGGGGGGACCAUCCUCCAAGGCUAAAUACUCCUGACUGACCGAUAGUGAACCAGUACCGUGAGGGAAAGGCGAAAAGAACCCCGGCGAGGGGAGUGAAAAAGAACCUGAAACCGUGUACGUACAAGCAGUGGGAGCACAGAGCAAUCUGUGUGACUGCGUACCUUUUGUAUAAUGGGUCAGCGACUUAUAUUCUGUAGCAAGGUUAACCGAAUAGGGGAGCCGAAGGGAAACCGAGUCUUAACUGGGCGUUAAGUUGCAGGGUAUAGACCCGAAACCCGGUGAUCUAGCCAUGGGCAGGUUGAAGGUUGGGUAACACUAACUGGAGGACCGAACCGACUAAUGUUGAAAAAUUAGCGGAUGACUUGUGGCUGGGGGUGAAAGGCCAAUCAAACCGGGAGAUAGCUGGUUCUCCCCGAAAGCUAUUUAGGUAGCGCCUCGUGAAUUCAUCUCCGGGGGUAGAGCACUGUUUCGGCAAGGGGGUCAUCCCGACUUACCAACCCGAUGCAAACUGCGAAUACCGGAGAAUGUUAUCACGGGAGACACACGGCGGGUGCUAACGUCCGUCGUGAAGAGGGAAACAACCCAGACCGCCAGCUAAGGUCCCAAAGUCAUGGUUAAGUGGGAAACGAUGUGGGAAGGCCCAGACAGCCAGGAUGUUGGCUUAGAAGCAGCCAUCAUUAAAGAAAGCGUAAUAGCUCACUGGUCGAGUCGGCCUGCGCGGAAGAUGUAACGGGGCUAAACCAUGCACCGAAGCUGCGGCAGCGACGCUGAUGCGUUGUUGGGUAGGGGAGCGUUCUGUAAGCCUGUGAAGGUGUGCUGUGAGGCAUGCUGGAGGUAUCAGAAGUGCGAAUGCUGACAUAAGUAACGAUAAAGCGGGUGAAAAGCCCGCUCGCCGGAAGACCAAGGGUUCCUGUCCAACGUUAAUCGGGGCAGGGUGAGUCGACCCCUAAGGCGAGGCCGAAAGGCGUAGUCGAUGGGAAACAGGUUAAUAUUCCUGUACUUGGUGUUACUGCGAAGGGGGGACGGAGAAGGCUAUGUUGGCCGGGCGACGGUUGUCCCGGUUUAAGCGUGUAGGCUGGUUUUCCAGGCAAAUCCGGAAAACUAAGGCUGAGGCGUGAUGACGAGGCACUACGGUGCUGAAGCAACAAAUGCCCUGCUUCCAGGAAAAGCCUCUAAGCAUCAGGUAACAUCAAAUCGUACCCCAAACCGACACAGGUGGUCAGGUAGAGAAUACCAAGGCGCUUGAGAGAACUCGGGUGAAGGAACUAGGCAAAAUGGUGCCGUAACUUCGGGAGAAGGCACGCUGAUAUGUAGGUGAAGUCCCUCGCGGAUGGAGCUGAAAUCAGUCGAAGAUACCAGCUGGCUGCAACUGUUUAUUAAAAACACAGCACUGUGCAAACACGAAAGUGGACGUAUACGGUGUGACGCCUGCCCGGUGCCGGAAGGUUAAUUGAUGGGGUCAGCGCAAGCGAAGCUCUUGAUCGAAGCCCCGGUAAACGGCGGCCGUAACUAUAACGGUCCUAAGGUAGCGAAAUUCCUUGUCGGGUAAGUUCCGACCUGCACGAAUGGCGUAAUGAUGGCCAGGCUGUCUCCACCCGAGACUCAGUGAAAUUGAACUCGCUGUGAAGAUGCAGUGUACCCGCGGCAAGACGGAAAGACCCCGUGAACCUUUACUAUAGCUUGACACUGAACAUUGAGCCUUGAUGUGUAGGAUAGGUGGGAGGCUUUGAAGUGUGGACGCCAGUCUGCAUGGAGCCGACCUUGAAAUACCACCCUUUAAUGUUUGAUGUUCUAACGUUGACCCGUAAUCCGGGUUGCGGACAGUGUCUGGUGGGUAGUUUGACUGGGGCGGUCUCCUCCUAAAGAGUAACGGAGGAGCACGAAGGUUGGCUAAUCCUGGUCGGACAUCAGGAGGUUAGUGCAAUGGCAUAAGCCAGCUUGACUGCGAGCGUGACGGCGCGAGCAGGUGCGAAAGCAGGUCAUAGUGAUCCGGUGGUUCUGAAUGGAAGGGCCAUCGCUCAACGGAUAAAAGGUACUCCGGGGAUAACAGGCUGAUACCGCCCAAGAGUUCAUAUCGACGGCGGUGUUUGGCACCUCGAUGUCGGCUCAUCACAUCCUGGGGCUGAAGUAGGUCCCAAGGGUAUGGCUGUUCGCCAUUUAAAGUGGUACGCGAGCUGGGUUUAGAACGUCGUGAGACAGUUCGGUCCCUAUCUGCCGUGGGCGCUGGAGAACUGAGGGGGGCUGCUCCUAGUACGAGAGGACCGGAGUGGACGCAUCACUGGUGUUCGGGUUGUCAUGCCAAUGGCACUGCCCGGUAGCUAAAUGCGGAAGAGAUAAGUGCUGAAAGCAUCUAAGCACGAAACUUGCCCCGAGAUGAGUUCUCCCUGACUCCUUGAGAGUCCUGAAGGAACGUUGAAGACGACGACGUUGAUAGGCCGGGUGUGUAAGCGCAGCGAUGCGUUGAGCUAACCGGUACUAAUGAACCGUGAGGCUUAACCUUACAACGCCGAAGCUGUU